AUUGAACGCUGGCGGCAUGCCUUACACAUGCAAGUCGAACGGCAGCACGGGUGCUUGCCCCUGGUGGCGAGUGGCGAACGGGUGAGUAAUACAUCGGAACAUGUCCUGUAGUGGGGGAUAGCCCGGCGAAAGCCGGAUUAAUACCGCAUACGAUCUACGGAUGACAGCGGGGGACCUUCGGGCCUCGCGCUAUCGGGUUGGCCGAUGGCUGAUUAGCUAGUUGGUGGGGUAAAGGCCUACCAAGGCGACGAUCAGUAGCUGGUCUGAGAGGACGACCAGCCACACUGGGACUGAGACACGGCCCAGACUCCUACGGGAGGCAGCAGUGGGGAAUUGUGGACAAUGGGCGAAAGCCUGAUCCAGCAAUGCCGCGUGUGUGAAGAAGGCCUUCGGGUUGUAAAGCACUUUUGUCCGGAAAGAAAUCCUUGGCCCUAAUACGGUCGGGGGAUGACGGUACCGGAAGAAUAAGCACCGGCUAACUACGUG
rnacentral:rRNA from 1 species